GCCCGAGUGGCGGAAUUGGCAGACGCAACAGAUUCAAAACCUGUCGACAGCAAUGUUGUGGGGGUUCGACUCCCCCCUUGGGCA
rnacentral:tRNA from 1 species